UGUACGAUGUUUGUAUAAAAAAUAGACGGAGAUCAAAUUUAAUAAAUUUUUAAAUAGUUAAAAGAUUAAAAUCGAUAAGUGUAUAUUUAAGAGAUCAUUUUAGACCUGCUAUAGUAGAUAAGUUACUAUUUAUGACCUUUUCUCUAACUAUUUCACUCUAUGACAAGUGGCCCCCUUGUACUUCUUUAUCCCCAUCCCUCUCACUAUCUCCUGCACCUCGUUCUGUCACCAUUCUUCAGCCAUAGAUUAGCUUCAAAUUCUUUCAUUUUAUUUUUUCUUUCUUUCUUUUUCUCAAACAAGUCGAGCUAGCUAGAAGAGAAAGGGGCAAAAAUGGAAAAUGGAGACUUUCUUCUGUUUUUUCUUGUCACUGUAAAAUUUUCAGACCCUUCUUCAUUUCCCAGCUCCCUAGAAAAUCAACGAAUUACAAAAUCAAGAAAAAACCCAAAAUCGAAACUUCAGAGAUCAAGCCAACAAAGUGGUCAAACGAGAAAUUGAGUUUAAAAAAUAGUGUGAAAUUUCAUAUCUCUAUGUAUCGCCUGAAAAGAACAAAUCAAAGCCCCAAAUUUGAAAGAAAUGAAAAUUCAAGAUUAAGCAAAAUUGUGUGUGGAUAUGGAGAGAGAGAGAGAUCUAGGGAGAAAGAAAGCCUUACCUUUUUUUGUUUUGUUGUUGCUUCACCGGAAGUUCUGUUCCGGCACAGGGAACAUAAGGAAACUUAUUUUUAUUUUUUUUGGGGAAAUGGUGAUUAUUAGUUUGUCUAGCUAAAAAAAAUUAAAAAGAAGCAUAAAACUGUGGUGGAUGUGGUGGUUUCGACGAAAAUGGGUGGUAGGAUGGUUCAGCGACGAAGAAAGAUAUAAUUAUUGGAGGAUUUUAAUGGUUAAUUAGAGAUUAAAAGAAUAUAAUUUUUUUUCUAGAAGAUUUUUACGUGGCGCCGAUAUGACGCUGAUGUGACGGCGAGUGUGUAACACUUUCUCUGGUGCAAUUGGUUAUAGGCGCAUCAGGAUGGUAUUAAAUUUACUUUUUAGAUGUUCAGUGUAUAAUAGGUCAUUGUAUAGUUUGAGUGUGAACUCGAUACUUUAGGUAUAGUUUAAGUAUGAUUUGAUGUAGUAAGCGGGUGGUUGAGAAACACGUAUUAUUGGGAGGGGGCAGCAGGCAAUGGAUACCGUUCGAGCUCUAUGUGAUGCAAAUCUGAAUAUAGUCGGUUUUCAAUACGGAUACGGCACACGAAAAACCAAAAAAAAAAAAAAGGAACUGUUUGAUGCAAAUUUGAAGAAUUAUUUUGAAACUGCCGUCAAGCCUAAGCAAAAAAUAUUAUCCUAGACAUAUAUCAUGAGAGAUGGAGUGGUGGGGAUGUGGACCACCAUGGGAGUUGAUGUGAAGAUGAGGACACAAUAACUCGCAAAUGCCUGACUGGGGACGACUAGUUUAUUUGUCCUAAACUCGCUCAGUCAAACAUCAAAGCUCUUCCCAUGACGAUGGCAUUGAUAACUACAAAGAGGCAGCUUUUGUAGUAUUUGCUGAACUAGUUGGGAAUAUAAGUGAAACAACAGUAGUCCCUUCUGGAAAGGCUUUGCACUCACUAUUCCGUAAUACACUGAAUGAUGAUACCGUUGAUCUAGAUGUGAGGAUCACAGCCAUGAGGGCUGUGAUCAGAUUUGUUCAGCGUAUAUCGAGUUCAAAUGGAAAGGAGCGGUUUCAGGAAUUGUUGACAGGGAUGAUGAAGACAUUGACUGACUCAUAUUUGAGCAAACGUGAGGUUGCAGACAGCAGGCCCUGAUUUUUUUUUAUAGAAUUGGCCAUGGAUGAACCUCGGUUCUUGAAAAGGCAGCUAGUAGAUGUGGUCGCCACCAUGUUUGAGAUAGCAGAGGCUGAGAGUUUAGAAGAGAACAUGAGGCAUUUGGCUGUUGAAUUUUUGAUCAUAUUGGUUGAGGCGAAGAAGAGGGCCCCAGGCAUGAUUAAGAGGGUGCCCUUGUUUAUUAGCAAAUGUUUCGCAAUGUUAUUGAAUUUAUUAUUAGAUAUUAAGGAUGAACCUUCUUGGUAUUGUGCCGAGACCCUGUCUGAUGACACAGGAACAAGUAACUACCAUGUUGGUAGGGAGUGUUUACACCGGUUUUCUCUUGCAUUAGGAGGUAAGUCUGUUGCUCAUGUCGCCCUAGAGCAACUGUUGGCUUACUCAGAUGAGCCAGAAUGGGAGAAGCGCCAUGUAGCUCUCAUUGCACUUGCUCAGAUUGCUGAAGGAUACUCAAAGGUGAUGAUUAAGAAUUUGGAGCAGGUGGUGUUAUUGGUUCUGAAUUGUAUCCAAGAUCCUCAUCCUCGAGGUAGAUGGGCAGCUUUCAAUGCAAUUAGCCAGUUGUUGGUUGACUUUUCUCCACAUUUGCAAGAAAAAUACCAUAACCAAGUACUUCUUGCAUUAGCUGAAGCUGUGGAUGAUUUUCAUCCACGAGUGCAGGCAUAUGCCGCUGCAGCCAUCUCCAGCUUCGUUGUGCCCGACAAGCCAGAAACUUUGAUACAUCAUCUAGAUGUAUUUGUUAACAAACUGCUUGUACUUCUAAAGAAUGACAAACAAAUUUUCCAACAAGUAGCAUUAAAAGCAUUGACUUUUAUAGCUGGAUGUGUUGAGGAGCACUUCGGAACAUACUAUGAUACUGUUAUGCCACACUUGAAAACUGUCCUGAGAAACGCCGAUCUUAAAUCUAAUCUCCUUCUUCUUUCCUCUGCAAUUGAGUGCAUUGGCUGUGUUGUGAUUGCUGUUGGCAAAGAGAAAUUUAGAGAUGAUGAAAAGCAGGUUAUAGAAAUGCUUAUGUCAUUACAUGUGAAGGUGGAUGAUCCUAUUACUACUAUAUACAUGCUACUGGCAUGUGCUAGAAUUUGCAGGUGCAUGGGACAGGAUUUUCUUCCUUAUAUGAAUGCAGUCAUGCCCAUCUUAAUUCAAUGUGCUCAACUUAAGACCAUCUCUAUGGAGCAGUACAAUGAAAAUUAUGAAGUAGAUGCUGAUAGUAUAGAGACACUAGAUACGAAAGCUAAAGCCUGUGCUGUUAUAUGCUGGUACGCUGAUGUAUGGAAGGAAGACUUCUAUCCAUGGAUUUCCCAGGCCGUUUCAAUCAUUGUUCCGCUUCUGAAAUUCUAUACCUACUAUGAUGUCCGGAAAUCUGCUGUUGAAGGCCUACAGUUCAUGUUGCGUUCUGCUAAACUGGCUGUUGAGAAAGGGGUUGCUCAAGACGAAAGUGAGUCAUAUUUCACAAAGUUGUCAGACCAUAUAAUACUGGCUAUUGUAGAAGCUUUGCAUGAGGAGUAUGAGACAGAAAUGUGUGCAAUCAUGUUGGAUAAAUUGGAUGACUGCCUGCAGAUUUGCGGACCACUUCCCAAUGAAGGUCCGGUUUGUAGCAUCGUGGAUGAGAUAAAGUAUGUCAUUAUAGACACUUCAUGUACAAAACAAGAACUCAAAGAGAGAGCAAAAAUGGAAGAUUUCGUUGCUGAGGAACCUGAAUUGUUGAAGGAGGAAGGCGAGCAAGAAGAAAAAGUUUUCGAGAGGGUUGGUGAUAUAUUGUGCACAUUGAUCAAUGCUUUCAAGGCUGCUUUCUUGCCUUUCCUUGAUGAGUUGUCAUCAUAUUUAUUACCUAUGUGGGCCAAGGAGAAAACAACUACUGAGAGAUGUAUGUCUAUUGCUAUCUUUGAUAAUCUUGUGGAGGAGUGCCCUGAAGCAGCUCUAAAAAUGCUCUUUAUGGACUUGGCCUUUGGACGGAAUAUGGUCGUUCUUCUUUCAAACCUUUUGUUGGAGGCUCUGUCAAGGAUCAAUAAAGUGAUAAUGCAUUUACUUGCUCGUGAACCUGGGAAUGAAGGUGCAUAAGAUAAUGCUGUCUCUGCACUUGGUAAGAUAUGUCAACUUCAUGGGGAAAGUUUUGACUCAGCCCAGGUUAUAAGGAAGCUUAGAAACAGUGGAACUCAUAGGCAACGAAACUCCAUGAAUGAGCUUCGUAACCUGCACUGGUGAACAGUGAACUUGGGCAGAAAAGAAGUUAGGGAGAGGAGAGAAUUUGAGAGGGAAGUUAGAAAAUACCAUAUCCAAAUUAUGAGCUGUGAUUCCCUCCAUUACUCUAUUAUAGACAGAAAUUGUAGGUUAACCCCCUCCGUUAAUUGCUAACCGCCUCUGGGAUUGAAGCUGAGCCCUACAAUCAUUUAUUAAGUGGCUGCUGGACCUCACCUGGGCAGUGUUGCAUCCACGCGUCUGACUCAUACCCCCCUUUCGCAAAUUAAGCUAUCAUGUGACUGGUUAUUCCAGCUUUGUUGAAUUGCCUGCCUAUCAAAGCUGACUUGCACGAAGUCAGAUUUGUUCAUGAACUGUUAUGUUCAAUGGUGGAAAGCAACUGAUUUUGACGUUAAUGAGACUGCAGCUGGAACAGUUUUGACAUACUCUGGUUCUAUGUUCUGAAAAGGAUCUUGCUAUUGAAGAAACUGCAAAUCGCAUGAUUAACGUAUUGAGGCAUCUUCAGCAAACACGACCUCCAGACACCUUGGAAUCAGCAUGGUCAUAUCUUCUACCUCAGCAGGAGAUGGAACUGAAAUCCAUUCUAUCACCUGUAGAAGAUGCUAACUUUUAACCAAUUCAAUGAAACUACUACUACUGUAAUUAUUGUUGGAUCAAACAUUUUGACGGUCAGAUAUUCCUCCAAUGUAAUUUCCCCAUAAUUCUCUCUGCAGCUUAGUUGAAAUGCCUGCCAACAGAAGCUGACAUGACUGAAGCCCAAAAAUGUUAAAAGUCUUGGUUCAACAAAAUUGUAUUUUAUCACACUAACUAACUAUUACAAUAGAUAUUGAAGGAUUUACAUGAGAUUUUCUCUUGUAUCAGCAGAUAUUGUAACUAACUAUAACAAAAGAUAUUGAAGGAGAAAAUAGAGGACACGUUUCUGCUCUUUUAUUUUGUUUUGGUGUAUCAACUAGGAACAUGAAUGUAGAGUAUUUCCUUUUACCCUAUGAAGGGGAGCCUUGGAGCAACGGUAAAGUUGUCUCCGUGUGACUUAUAGGUCACAGGUUCGAGCCGUGAAAGCAGCCACUAAUGC